AUUGAACGCUGGCGGCAGGCCUAACACAUGCAAGUCGAGCGGAUGACGGGAGCUUGCUCCUGGAUUUAGCGGCGGACGGGUGAGUAAUGCCUAGGAAUCUGCCUGGUAGUGGGGGACAACGUUUCGAAAGGAACGCUAAUACCGCAUACGUCCUACGGGAGAAAGCAGGGGACCUUCGGGCCUUGCGCUAUCAGAUGAGCCUAGGUCGGAUUAGCUUGUUGGUGAGGUAAUGGCUCACCAAGGCGACGAUCCGUAACUGGUCUGAGAGGAUGAUCAGUCACACUGGAACUGAGACACGGUCCAGACUCCUACGGGAGGCAGCAGUGGGGAAUAUUGGACAAUGAGCGAAAGCCUGAUCCAGCCAUGCCGCGUGUGUGAAGAAGGUCUUCGGAUUGUAAAGCACUUUAAGUUGGGAGGAAGGGUUGUAGAUUAAUACUCUGCAAUUUUGACGUUACCGACAGAAUAAGCACCGGCUAACUCUGUGCCAGCCGCCGCCGUAAAAC
rnacentral:rRNA from 1 species